rnacentral:rRNA from 1 species
GAUGAACGCUGGCGGCGUGCCUAAUACAUGCAAGUCGUACGGAAAGGCCCUUCGGGGUACUCGAGUGGCGGACGGCUGAGUAACGCGUGGGAACGUGCCCCAAAGUGAGGGAUAACGCACCGAAAGGUGUGCUAAUACCCCAUAUGGUCUUCGGAUUAAAGCUUCGGCGCUUUGGGAGCGGCCCGCGUACGAUUAGAUAGUUGGUGAGGUAAUGGCUCACCAAGUCGACGAUCGUUAGCUGGUCUGAGAGGAUGAUCAGCCAGACUGGGACUGAGACACGGCCCAGACUCCUACGGGAGGCAGCAGUAAGGAAUCUUCCACAAUGGGGGCAACCCUGAUAGAGCAACGCCGCGUGCAGGAUGAAGGUUUUCGGAUCGUAAACUGCUUUUAUAAGUGAAGAAUAUGACGGUAACUUAUGAAUAAGGAUCGGCUAACUACGUGCCAGCAGCCGCCGUAA